UACGUAGGGAGCAAGCGUUAUCCGGAUUUAUUGGGUGUAAAGGGUGCGUAGACGGGAUAACAAGUUAGUUGUGAAAACCCUCGGCUCAACUGAGGAACUGCAACUAAAACUAUUAUUCUUGAGUGCAGGAGGGGAAAGUGGAAUUCCUAGUGUAGCGGUGAAAUACGUAGAUAUUAGGAGGAACACCAGUGGCGAAGGCGGCCUGCUGGACGAUGACUGACGUUGAGGCUCGAAAGCGUGGGGAGCAAACAGG
rnacentral:rRNA from 1 species